rnacentral:rRNA from 1 species
UACGUAGGUGGCGAGCGUUGUCCGGAUUACUGGGCGUAAAGAGCGCGCAGGCGGCUGGUCAAGUCCGAUGUGAAAGCUCCCGGCUUAACUGGGAAAUUGCAUCGGAAACUGAUCGGCUGGAAGGUGGGAGAGGGUAGCGGAAUUCCCGGUGUAGUGGGUGAAAAUGCGUAGAGAUCGGGAGGAACACCAGAGGCGAAGGCGGGCGACCUGGACAAGUACUGACACUCAACGUGCGAAAGCGUGGGGAGCAAACAGGAU